rnacentral:lncRNA from 1 species
UGACUAGAAAGUGCUCAGUGCAUUCUGGUUUGCUAAUCCAGUGCUUUAGAUCAUGCAGGCCAAACAAUAAUCCCCAAAAUCUCCAUUAAAAUGGAAUACAGGUCUGGCAAGGCUGGCCCAUGACCUUUAAUUUUAGUAACCAUGAAAACAGGUCCCCUCCAUUAGAAGAAAAUGACAUAAACUAUAACUUGGUGUAACUUUGUGGUAUGCCAAUUACUUCAAAAUGAGAUGCAAACACUACCAGACUACUUGGAUAUGCUCCACAUAGCUCAACAGAUCCAGAGAUAUCUCCACCCCACCAACAACACUGGAACCCAGGUUGGAUUCAGCACUAGGUUUGUUGGUCCUUGGAGAGGCAGCCAAAUUAAAC